AGGGGAAUAUUGGACACUGGGGGGAACCCUGAUCCAGCCAUGCCGCGUGUGUGAAGAAGGCCUUAUGGUUGUAAAGCACUUUAAGCGAGGAGGAGGGUACUGGUAUUAAUACUACCAGCUACUGGACGUUACUCGCAGAAUAAGCACCGGCUAACUCUGUGCCAGCAGCCGCGGUAAUACAGAGGGUGCGAGCGUUAAUCGGAUUUACUGGGCGUAAAGCGUGCGUAGGCGGCUAAUUGAGUCGGAUGUGAAAUCCCCGGGCUUAACUUGGGAAUUGCAUUCGAUACUGGUUAGCUAGAGUGUGGGAGAGGAUGGUAGAAUUCCAGGUGUAGCGGUGAAAUGCGUAGAGAUCUGGAGGAAUACCGAUGGCGAAGGCAGCCAUCUGGCCUAACACUGACGCUGAGGUACGAAAGCAUGGGGAGCAAACAGG
rnacentral:rRNA from 1 species